UCCCGUGGGAGAUUGAGCUUUUAAAAAAAAAAAAUGAUUUAGCUUUAAGUUUAACUAGAUUUAACGCGGGUUAUGUUUUUUUUUUCUCAAACACACAAUAAAAAUAAACUAUCACCUUUAAGUAUUUUUGGUUAAUUAUUUGGAUCUUAUGUGAUGAUAGUAUGGUCCUCGUUGAUGACAUCUAAUUAAAGAUAAUUUAAGUUUUAUAAUUUCUGUUGUGUUUUCAUUGAUAAUGAUGAAUAGUCCAUGAGACAAUUUUUACGCGUCUAACCUAUAUAGAUAUGAUAGUAUGUGUAGGAGUUUUUUUUUUGGUUUUUACAUGUAGUUGUAAAUUUAUAAGAUUCAUUUCAAAUCUGUUAAAUUUUAUAUCACUAUAUCAAUAUAUGUAUAAACAGUUUUGGUAAAAUAUAUGGUAUUUAACAGAUGUUUAUAAGUUAUCAAACUGCAUUAUUUUAAAACUGUAUAUUUUUGGCAUAUUGUGUAAAAUAAUUUAAAUUUUACUAAAAUUAAAUAAGUGUAUCAUCUACAUACAUAAUUAUUUCUAUCAAUAGUAUUGAUGAUCUUAAAUAUUCUAUGAUUUAAUUGUUGUGUGGUUAGUUUGAUUUCGAAAAAUGGAAUAUGUUUAGCAAUCUUUAGAUUUGUUUGCUAGAAAUAUCUGUGAUAUAAAAAGUUGUAAAAUCCAUAUGAUUGUUUGAAUAUAGUAGAUUUAAGAUCUUCUUAAUAUUUUUAUUGAACAUACAUUAAAAUUUCAUUUAAUAUAUUAGAAAUAAUUAUUUUAUAAUAAAAUCGAUUAAUAGUUUACCCUUGUGAUUAUAUCAGAAUCUUAUUAAAUGACUAUCUUAGAAAUCAAAUCAAUAAUAAUCAAACCCAGAAAUUAAUAUUCUGUUAUGAUAAUACAUUCAAAUGUGAAACAGUAACCCGUUUUAUACUCAUGUAUAUUGUGAUGAUACAUAACUUAAAUAUACUACAUGAAAUCAACAUGUGUUGGGAUAUCAUAAGGUUAUUUAAAAUGUAAACCACUAUUUGAAAAUGAAAGAGUAGAUUCAUGAUAAGUUUACUCUAGUCUUCUGAAAUUAAUUGGUUUGGUUUGAUACCUAUAUAGAGUUAAAUCUAAAUGUACACGAUCUUUGCAUAUACUGUAUUGUUAGACUCCUUUUCCAGAAUAAAUAAUAGAUUGUACUGAUUAUGGUUAUAAUCUUUUAGUCUUUAUUUUAAAUCAAAGAUGUAAGUAAUAUAUUUUAGAUUAACCAAAAUCGUUAAAUUAAAGAUAAUAAUUAGUAGGGUCAAUUUUCGUUUGACGGUUAUAACUUUUUUGAUAGUUCAUAAAACAGUUGAUAAAAUAGGAUUCUGUUUUAAUAAAUUAGAUUUACGUUCGAUGCAAAUAAAACCAUACACCAGAAGCAAAAAAAAAAAAACUUAACUUGACUAUUUUAUUAUAUAUUGUUAAGGUUCAUUUCAAUAAACUAUAUAGAUCACACUAGCGAGAGUGCAAAAUGUUCAAAAUAUGAGAUGGUUUUAUAUUUCUACUAGGAGUGGUCAAUCGUAUUCCAUGAAGAAUAUUUUUUAUUUUAUUUUUGUCAUGUCUCAAAUAUGUGACGAAUUUUAAAAAUAAAACGGAUCUUGAUGAAGCUGGAAAAAAGAUAUUAACAUAUUAUCAAACUAAAAUUUGUAAAAGCUGUAAAAAGUAAACGAAAAUUC